UCAGCAAGACUGGGUUGAAUCUCAGCCUCAUUGUUUACUUGAUGUGUAAAAGCAGCUCUGUGGAGAAGCCCACCUGGAGAUAAACCAGAGCCUCCCGUCCUCCGUCAGCAUUGACUUGCAAGCCAUGUGACAGCUACCUUGGAAGUGGAUCCAGCAACCUCAAGAGAGGUUGCCCCCGCCACCCUCCAGUUCAUGUACUCCCAAAUUCCUGACCCAUAGAAACUGUGAAAGAGAAUAAAUAUUGGUUUAAUCCAUGAAGUUUUGAGGCCAUUUUACUUGGCAAUUGCUAACAAAUACAGGCU
rnacentral:lncRNA from 10 species